rnacentral:rRNA from 1 species
GACAGAGGGUGCAAACGUUGCUCGGAAUCACUGGGCGUAAAGGGCGUGUAGGCGGGAAUGUAAGUCGGGCGUGAAAUCCCUAGGCUCAACCUAGGAACUGCACUCGAAACUGCGUUUCUUGAGUAUCGGAGAGGAAAGCGGAAUACCUGGUGUAGAGGUGAAAUUCGUAGAUAUCAGGUGGAACACCAGUGGCGAAGGCGGCUUUCUGGGCACCACCUGACGCUGAGGCGCGAAAGCGUGGGGAGCGAACCGG